CUGACCGAGCAACGCCGCGUGAGUGAAGAAGGUUUUCGGAUCGUAAAGCUCUGUUGUAAGAGAAGAACGAGUGUGAGAGUGGAAAGUUCACACUGUGACGGUAUCUUACCAGAAAGGGACGGCUAACUACGUGCCAGCAGCCGCGGUAAUACUGACCGAGCAACGCCGCGUGAGUGAAGAAGGUUUUCGGAUCGUAAAGCUCUGUUGUAAGAGAAGAACGAGUGUGAGAGUGGAAAGUUCACACUGUGAC
rnacentral:rRNA from 1 species